CGCAUCUGUGCAUGCAGCAUAUCAAUAAGCGGAGGAAAAGAAACUAACAAGGAUUCCCCUAGUAACGGCGAGUGAAGCGGGAAGAGCUCAAAUUUGAAAUCUUAAAGGGUUUCCCUUUACGAAUUGUAGUUUAAAGAAGUGUUUUCUGUUGAGGUUUUGGUAAAAGUUCUUUGGAAUAGGACAUCAUAGAGGGUGAGAAUCCCGUAUUUGACCUUUACUUUCAACUUUGUGAUACACUUUCAAAGAGUCGGAUUGUUUGGGAAUGCAGUCCAAAAUGGGUGGUAAAUUUCAUCUAAAGCUAAAUAUUGGCGAGAGACCGAUAGCGAACAAGUACCGUGAGGGAAAGAUGAAAAGAACUUUGAAAGGAGAGUUAAACAGUACGUGAAAUCGUCAAAAGGGAAGCGUUUGACACCAGUGUUGUUUUUCUGAAAAUCAAUUAAAGAACUGUUUAUGCUAAGCUGUUUAGACUUUAUCAGCUAUCUGUUUAGUUUUGAGCUUUUCUUUAAUGCACUUUUCAGUUAACAAGUCAACAUCAAUUUCUUUUGCUGUAAAAAAGCUUGAGGAAGGUGGCUUGAGAUUCGUCCUUAAGUGUUUAUAGCCUCUUGCCUAUGCAGUCGGAGAGAUUGAGGUCUGCAGCGUAGAUCCUUCGGGGCUAAAUGCAUUUGUGCUAAGUUAUAGCAUUUUAUAGACAACUUGUUGACUAUGAUUUGUCUUGUAGCUUACUCGCUUAUGUUAUUUUACCUACGCUUAGGAUGUUGAGUCGUAGAGCACGCAG
rnacentral:rRNA from 1 species